UUAUGGCCAUAUCAGGUUGAAACACCGGUUCCCGUACGAUCACCGAAGUUGAGCAAAGUCGAGCUUGGUUAGUACCCAGAUGGGUGACUACUUGGGAAUACCAGGUGCU